rnacentral:rRNA from 1 species
UACGUAGGGUGCGAGCGUUAAUCGGAAUUACUGGGCGUAAAGCGUGCGCAGGCGGUCUGUUAAGACAGAUGUGAAAUCCCCAGGCUCAACCUGGGAACUGCGUCCGAUACUGGAUGGCUUGAAUCCGGGAGAGGGAUGCAGAAUUCCAGGUGUAGCGGUGAAAUGCGUAGAUAUCUGGAGGAAUACCGGUGGCGAAGGCGGCAUCCUGGACCGGCAUUGACGCUGAGGAGCGAAAGCCAGGGGAGCAAACGGG